rnacentral:rRNA from 1 species
GCGGUGGAGCAUGUGGUUAACUCGACGCAACGCGAAGAACCUUACCAGGGCUUGACAUCCCCUGACCGCGUAUGAAAGUACGUUUUCACCCUCGGGUGACAGGGAGACAGGUGGUGCAUGGUUGUCGUCAGCUCGUGUCGUGAGAUGUUGGGUUAAGUCCCGCAACGAGCGCAACCCCUACGUUUAGUUGCUAACGCGUGAAGGCGAGCACUCUAGACGAACUGCCGUUGACAAAACGGAGGAAGGUGGGGAUGACGUCAAAUCAUCAUGCCCCUUAUGUUCUGGGCUACACACGUGCUACAAUGGCCGGUACAGACGGACGCAAAGCCGCGAGGUGGAGCAAAUCCUAAAAAGCCGGUCUCAGUUCGGAUUGCAGGCUGCAAUUCGCCUGCAUGAAGUCGGAAUCGCUAGUAAUCGCAGGUCAGCACACUGCGGUCGAAUACGUUCCCGGGCCUU